ensembl:lncRNA
GAGUGCUCUUACUGUGAGUGGUAACCCCCUGAUCUUAACCUCUUGGUUAGGAAGCCCCAGUAAUGCUUCUCUGUGGUGCUUUAAAGCCAGGAUGUAAUGGAGCUGUAUCUAAUGGACUCUGUCCUGGUCUCUUUCUGGUGUUUUUCUAAGACCUGGGAUGUUUGCCAGGCACACUGUCAGUUCUUAUCUUACAGCCAGGGUCACAGAGAGGUUAAUGUUUGGCCCAUGGGUGGUCAGACCUACCCAUGCAGACCCAUUUAACCUCAUAGCCACCUCUCCUGGUCAGACCUACCCAUGCAGACCCAUUUAACCUCAUAGCCUCCUCUCCUGGUCAGACCUAAACAGACAGACCACUUUAACCUCAUAGCCUCCUCUCCUGGUCAGACCUAAACAGACAGACCACUUUAACCUCAUAGCCACCUCUCCUGGUCAGACCUAAACAGACAGACCACUUUAACCUCAUAGCCUCCUCUCCUGGUCAGACCUAAACAGACAGACCUGAGGGUCUCAGGACCUGGGAUUAUAGGACCAUAGCCACCUCUCCUGGUCAGACAGACCUGAGGACCUGGGACUAUAGGACCAUAGCCACCUCUCCUGGUCAGACAGGACUAAUAUUCCUGGUCUCAGGACUAAUACUAAGCCACUCUGACUACAAUCUGGUCCGGUUUCCCAGAUCCGUACUAAGCCACUCUGACAACAAUCUGGUCCGGUUUCCCAGAUCCAUACUUAGCCUCUCUGACUACAAUCUGGUCCGGUUUCCCAGAUCCAUACUAAGCCGCUCUGACUACAUUAUGAUCCAUACUGCAUUGAUAAUCACUUAAUAUGUGCCUGUAGUGUUCAUAUCAGUGUGGUUAAGGGUAGGUCUGUGUGUAUAAGGGCAGGUCUAUGUGUGUAUCAGGUCUAUGUGUAUGAGGGCAGGUCUAUGUGUGUAUGAGGGCAGGUCUAUGUGUGUAUCAGGGCAGGUCUAUGUGUGUAUCAGGGCAGGUCUAUGUGUGUAUGAGGGCAGGUCUAUGUGUGUAUCAGGGCAGGUCUGUGUGUAUCAGGGCAGGUCUAUGUGUGUAUGAGGGCAGGUCUAUGUGUGUAUCAGGGCCAAGGUCUAGGUGUGGUAUCAGGGCAGGGUCUGUGUUGUAUAGGGCAGGUCUAUGUUGUAGAGGAGGUCGAUGUGUGUAUCAGGGCAGGUCUAUGUGUGUAUGAGGGCAGGUCUAUGUGUGUAUCAGGGCAGGUCGUGUGUGUAUCAGUGCAGGUCUGAUGUGUGUUAUAAGGGCAGGUCUAUGUGUGUAUCAGGGCAGGUCUAUGUGUGUAUGAGGGCAGGUCUAUUGUGUAUCAGGUCUAUGUGUGUAUAGGGAGUCGUAUGGUGUGUAUGCAGGGCAGGUCUUGUGUGUAUCAGCACAGGCAGGUCUAUGUGUGUAUCCAGGCAGGUCUAUGUGUGUAUCAGGGCAGGUCUAUGUGUGUGUAUGAGGGCAGGUCUAUGUGUGUAUCAGGUCUAUGUGUGUAUCAGGGCAGGGUCUAUGUGUGUACAGGGCAGGUCUAUGUGUUAUCAGGGCAGUCUAGGUGUGUAUCAGGGCAGGU